UUUCCUUCCUUUUUUCUUCUAGCCUUGUUUCACAGCACGGUUUCACAAAUAUUUGCAUCAGCACCACUGAGGAGGUGUACAACUGCAGCACAGAAAUGGGAAUGAACAGCAGGGACAGGAAAGCGUGGCAGUGUCUUAAACCAGCCUUGCUGCUGGAAAAAUAUAACUGUAAGCCUCAAGCUGAACUUCUCUCAAUGGGAGAAACUUGGUAAUGAGAAAAUGCAUACUCUCCAUGGUUUCGUGAGGCUGAAGUAUUGAAAGGGAAGACACUGGGGUGUAGCUUGUAUCAACCCCCCUGGAAGCAGCCAGCUGGUCAAGUGGGCAGGGCUUCCUCUGCAUUUGCCUCUCUGCAGCACCUGAGUUGGGGGCUCUGCUGGCCAGCCCUCCCUGGAGGCAGCUUGCUAGGCUCUGGGAGCAAGGAGGCCAGGAAGGUUUUCAGUUCGUUACUGCCCAAACAACUUCAUUACUCUGCAGUACUAUGUCAGAACGUACCUUUCCUGAGGCGAUGCGUCCUCUGAGUGACGGGCUGGAGGGAGCUGCUCUGGGAUUCRGCGCAGAAGUAGGCAACGCGGCAAUUAGCAGAAGGGCAACAGCUGCAUUUUAG
rnacentral:lncRNA from 1 species